UGUCGCCGCUUACACGUGGGGGAAGGCCCUCACCGUUUUGGGACUGGAAAUACCAAAGCUGGACGAGACUGAGGCGGUUGAGAACCACAAUUACUACCUGGAUGAAUGUGAAAAUCUGUUAGAUGAACUUUUGAUGAAGAUUAAUUGUUUGGCCGACAGCCUACAACUCCCUCUUCUGGAAAAACAAUCCAACGGUAUAAGGGAGGCAAGGGCAGAAGAUAGCCCCUAGGUGGGCAUUUCUAGUUAUCACGCUGCUGAGAGAAGAGAAUGGCCCUAAUCAGAAAUGUGCAAUUCAAGAAGAGCUGUUUCUGGACACCUCAUUUCUCCAACCCAGCCCAUGGUUUUUCCUCAUCCCCAGGUAGCUUUUACGGGUGAGAUCUGUAAAGCAUGAAGGCAUCUGAGCUCCCGCAGGGGAUGGACAUCCUGAAUCACUCUGCGUCCUACCCAGUGAGAGUCCAGCCUCGCCUGUGGGCCCCGCACCGUCUGUUCCCACUUACUGCUGUGCCCAGACCAGCACAGGGCUAGAGGGAAGAGGCUGCGUCAUUUUAGACUCUAGAGGUGGAGUCGUUCUUGGAGGCAGAAACACUCUGGGCUAUUUGGGAUCAGAGUAGUAUGUUUUUAUCAACCAAAUAUCUCCAUAGAGAACAGCAGCGGAACGAUUAGAGAAUCUGGCCGAGACACAGUGACUUGGGAGCUCUGGCCGAAUUAUAAGCCAGUUUCAUUGACGUGCCAGUUGAGCUAGCUGAUAAUUUGCCCCUGCGAAAACAACACACUUAGCCAUGAAAGUCUCGCCAGUAUUUUGCACAGCAUCAUGUCCCAGACAGAAGUUGACUAAGGAAACUGAGUCUGCCAGUGAGUAUAGAGAAUCGAGCUGUCCACAGGCACUACCUUGAUAAUUUGAUCUCUGGCCUCGGGUGACGGGGCCUGCUUGAUGGAACACGUAGCCAUCUGACCUGUCGGGAAAGCAUCUGUCAGCUGUGUCUAAUUUCUUCCACUUCUGGAUCGAUACUUGCUGCCUUUGCCUUUAAAAAUAAGUGGAAAUGUUUGUGGUGCUGGGCAGGGGACAAUGGUGUAUUUUUGGUAUUCUUUAGAGCAGGUAAGUUACUUGAGUGAAGACUAGGAAAAAAUAUAUUAUCAAAGGUCUGAGAU